rnacentral:rRNA from 1 species
UACGAGGGGGGCGAGCGUUGUUCGGAAUUAUUGGGCGUAAAGGGUGCGUAGGCGGUUCCGCAAGUCCUGUGUGAAAUCUUCGGGCUCAACUCGAAGUCUGCACGGGAAACUGCGGGGCUUGAGUGCAGAAGAGGAAAGUGGAAUUCCAUGUGUAGCGGUGAAAUGCGUAGAGAUAUGGAGGAACACCAGUGGCGAAGGCGACUCACUGGCCCGAUACUGACGCUGAGGCGCGAAAGCGUGGGGAGCAAACAGG